GACAGAGGUGCCAAGCGUUAGGCGGAAUCACUGGGCUUAAAGCGUGUGUAGGUGGAUCGUUAAGUGCUUUGUGAAAUCCCACGGCUCAACCGUGGAAUUGCUGGGCAUACUGGCGGUCUUGAGCCAUUCAGGGGCUACUGGAACAAACGGUGGAGCGGUGAAAUGCGUAGAUAUCGUUUGGAACGCCAAAGGUGAAAACAGGUAGCUGGGGAUGUGCUGACACUGAGACACGAAAGCCAGGGGAGCAAACGGG
rnacentral:rRNA from 1 species